rnacentral:rRNA from 1 species
CCCUUAGAUGUUCUGGGCCGCACGCGCGCUACACUGAUGCAUUCAACGAGUCUAAAACCUGCUCUGAUAGGGGUGGGUAAUCUUUUGAAUGUGCAUCGUGAUUGGGAUAGAUGAUUGCAAUUUUUCAUCUUCAACGAGGAAUGCCUAGUAAACGCAAGUCAUCAGCUUGCAUUGAUUACGUCCCUGCCCUUUGUACACACCGCCUGUCGCUCCUACCGAUUGAAUGAUCCGAUGAAUAUCAUGGAUUGAGGAUGCAAGUAGGUUCGCCUAUCUACAUCUUCGAGAAGUGAAGUAAAUCUUAUCAUUUAGAGGAAGGAGAAGUCGUAACA